CAGGGUGUGGUGUAAUGGGAACAUACGGCGCCUGGGACGCCGAGCCGGAAGUUCGAUUCUUUCCACCUUGA
rnacentral:tRNA from 2 species